rnacentral:pre_miRNA from 1 species
GAAGAGGGCGUUCUGUGUUUGGUGCGCAGGGGAGAUGAUACUGUCUUUAUAUAUCCUAUAUGUUCUCUUCAUUUAUUCAAUUUGAGAAUUACGUGGAGAUGUAUCAAGGCAGUGUCUUCUCUCUGCGCAUGAAACCUCCUGUUC